AGAGUUUGAUCAUGGCUCAGAUUGAACGUUGGCGGCACGCCUAAUACAUGCAAGUCGAACGAGAAAGUACCUCCGGGUAUGAGUAUAGUGGUGGAUGGGUGAGUAACGCGUAGGAAUCUACCUUCAGGUGGGGGAUAACUCGGGGAAAACUCGAGCUAAUACCGCAUAAUACCUAAGGGUCAAAGUGGGGGAUUUUUGGACCUCACGCCAGGAGAGGAGCCUGCGUUGGAUUAGCUAGUUGGUGGGGUAAAGGCCUACCAAGGCUAUGAUUUAUAGUUGGUCUGAGAGGACGAUCAGCCACACUGGAAUUGAGAUAUGGUCCAGACUCCUACGGGAGGCAGCAGUAGGGAAUCUUGGGCAAUUGGCGAAAGCCUGACCCAGCGAUGCCGCGUGUGCGAAGAAGGCCUUAGGGUUGUAAAGCACUUUUAGUCGUGAAGAAAAGCUUAAAGUUAAUAGCUUUGAGUUUUGAUGUUAACGACAGAAGAAGAUCCGGUUAACUCCGUGUUAGUAGUUGUGGUAAUAUGGAGGGAUCGAACGUUAAUCGGAAUUACUGGGCGUAAAGCGCGCGUAGGCGGUUUGAUAAGUGGGAUGUAAAAGCCCCGGGUUUAACCUGGGAACUGCAUUCCAAACUGUCAGACUAGAGUAUGGUAGAGGGUGGUAGAAUUUCCUGUGUAGUGGUGAAAUGUGUAGAUAUAGGAAGGAAUACCGAUGGCGAAGGUAGCCACCUGGACCAAUACUGACGCCGAGGUGCGAAAGCGUGGGGAGUAAAUAGGAUUAGAUACCCUGGUAGUCCACGCCGUAAACGAUGACAACUAGCCGUUGGGACCUUUGAGGUCUUGGUGGCGAAGCUAAUGCGAUAAGUUGUCCGCCUGGGGAGUACGGCCGCAAGGUUAAAACUCAAAUGAAUUGACGGGGGCCCGCACAAGCGGUGGAGCAUGUUGUUUAAUUUGAUGCAAUGUGAAGAACCUUACCACCCCUUGACAUACUUGGAAUUUUCCAGAGAUGGAUUAGUGCCUUCGGGAACCAAGAUACAGGUGCUGCAUGGCUGUCGUUAGUUUGUGUUGUGAGAUGUUGGGUUAAGUCCCGUAAUGAGUGCAACCCUUGUCCUUAUUUGUUAGCGAGUAAAGUUGGGAACUUUAAGGAGACUGCCGGUGAUAAACCGGAGGAAGGUGGGGACGACGUUAAGUCAUUAUGGCCCUUACGGGGUGGGCUAUAAACGUGCUACAAUGGUCGGUAUAAAGGGUUGCAAGCCAGUAAUGGUAAGCGAAUCCCAAAAAACCAAUCGUAGUCCGGAUUGGGGUCCGUAAUUUGACCCCAUGAAGUUGGAAUCGCUAGUAAUCGCGAAUUAGAAUGUCGCGGUGAAUACGUUCCCGGGCCUUGUACAUACCGCCCGUCACACCAUGGAAGUUGGUUGCACCAGAAGUAGGUAGUUUAAUCUUUGGGAGGGCGCUUACCACGGUGUGGUCAAUGACUGGGGUGAAGUUGAAAUAAGGUA
rnacentral:rRNA from 1 species